rnacentral:tRNA from 1 species
GGGCUCGUAGUAUAACGGCAGUACGCUGCCUCGACACGGCAGAGAAAAGAGUUCAAUUCUCUUCGGGCCCA